GCCGGGUGCGGUGGCAUGUGCCUGUAAUCCAAGUCACUGGGAGGCUGAGGUUGGUGGAUCAAGUGAGCUGAGGAGCUCUGGGCUGCAGCACUGUAAGUCGAACGGGUGUCCACGCUAAGUUCGGUAUCGAUAUGGUGUUCCAGGGGGAGCCCGGGACCACCAGGUUGUCUAAGGAGGGGUGAACCGUGUAGGUUGGAAACGAAGCAUGUAAAUCCCCGUGCUGUCCAGUAGUGGGAUAAUACCUGUGAGUAGAUGCUGCAGUGCAGCCUUGGCAAAACAUUGAGACCUAAUCUUUU
rnacentral:SRP_RNA from 1 species